AACGCUGGCGGCACGCUUAACACAUGCAAGUCGAACGGAGAAAUUGGAUUAUUCAUUUCUUAGUGGCGGACGGGUGAGUAACACGUGAGCAACCUGCCUUUGAGAGGGGAAUAGCUUCGGGAAACUGAUGGUAAUACCCUAUAACAUACAGAAACCGCAUGAUUUUUGUAUCAAAGAUUUUAUCACUCAAAGAUGGGCUCGCGUCUGAUUAGGUAGUUGGUGAGGUAACGGCUCACCAAGCCGACGAUCAGUAGCCGGACUGAGAGGUUGAACGGCCACAUUGGGACUGAGACACGGCCCAGACUCCUACGGGAGGCAGCAGUGGGGAAUAUUGCACAAUGGGGGGAACCCUGAUGCAAGCGAUGCCGCGUGGAGGAAGAAGGUUUCGGAUUGUAAACUCCUUUUGUAUGGGAAGAUAAUGACUGUACCAUACGAAUAAGCUCCGGCUAACUACGUGCCAGCAGCAGC
rnacentral:rRNA from 1 species